rnacentral:rRNA from 1 species
GGACCCGCACAAGUAGUGGAGCAUGUGGUUUAAUUCGAAGAUACGCGCAGAACCUUACCAACACUUGACAUGUUCGUCGCGACUUUAAGAGAUUAAAGUUUUCGGUUCGGCCGGACGAAACACAGGUGCUGCAUGGCUGUCGUCAGCUCGUGUCGUGAGAUGUUGGGUUAAGUCCCGCAACGAGCGCAACCCUCACUUUUAGUUGCCAUCAUUAAGUUGGGCACUCUGAAAGAACUGCCAGUGAUAAGCUGGAGGAAGGUGUGGAUGACGUCAAGUCCUCAUGGCCCUUACGGGUUGGGCUACACACGUGCUACAAUGGUAGUGACAAUGGGUUAAUCCCAAAAAGCUAAUCUCAGUUCGGAUUGUCGUCUGCAACUCGACGGCAUG